AGGGGCAGCAUGAACUUAGCUUGCUAAGUUUGAUGGCGACCGGCGCACGGGUGAGUAACACGUAUCCAACCUGCCGAUGACUCGGGGAUAGCCUUUCGAAAGAAAGAUUAAUACCCGAUGGCAUAGUUCUUCCGCAUGGUGGAACUAUUAAAGAAUUUCGGUCAUCGAUGGGGAUGCGUUCCAUUAGGUUGUUGGCGGGGUAACGGCCCACCAAGCCUUCGAUGGAUAGGGGUUCUGAGAGGAAGGUCCCCCACAUUGGAACUGAGACACGGUCCAAACUCCUACGGGAGGCAGCAGUGAGGAAUAUUGGUCAAUGGACGAGAGUCUGAACCAGCCAAGUAGCGUGAAGGAUGACUGCCCUAUGGGUUGUAAACUUCUUUUAUACGGGAAUAAAGUGAGGCACGUGUGCCUUUUUGUAUGUACCGUAUGAAUAAGGAUCGGCUAACUCCGUGCCAGCAGCCGCGGUAAUACGGAGGAUCCGAGCGUUAUCCGGAUUUAUUGGGUUUAAAGGGAGCGUAGGCGGACGCUUAAGUCAGUUGUGAAAGUUUGCGGCUCAACCGUAAAAUUGCAGUUGAUACUGGGUGUCUUGAGUACAGUAGAGGCAGGCGGAAUUCGUGGUGUAGCGGUGAAAUGCUUAGAUAUCACGAAGAACUCCGAUUGCGAAGGCAGCUUGCUGGACUGUAACUGAC
rnacentral:rRNA from 1 species